rnacentral:rRNA from 1 species
AUUGAACGCUGGCGGCAUGCCUUACACAUGCAAGUCGAACGGUAACAGGUUAAGCUGACGAGUGGCGAACGGGCGAGUAAUACAUCGGAACGUGCCCAGUAGUGGGGGAUAGCCCGGCGAAAGCCGGAUUAAUACCGCAUACGACCUAAGGGUGAAAGGGGGGGAUCGCAAGACCUCUCGCUAUUGGAGCGGCGGAUGUCAGAUUAGCUAGUUGGUGGGGUAAAAGCUCACCAAGGCGACGAUUUGUAGCUGGUCUGAGAGGACGACCAGCCCAACUGGGACUGAGACACGGCCCAGGCUCCUACGGGAGGCAGCAGUGGGGAAUUUUGGACAAUGGGCGCAAGCCUGAUCCAGCCAUGCCGCGUGCGGGAAGAAGGCCUUCGGGUUGUAAACCGCUUUUGUCAGGGAAGAAAUCCUUUGGGUUAAUACCUCGGGGGGAUGACGGUACCUGAAGAAUAAGCACCGGCUAACUACGUGCCAGCAGCCGCAGUAACAC